ensembl:lncRNA
UUUUUUUUUUUUUUUUCUUCUCUGUCCCAGUCUAUAGUUUUGAAAGCUACACAUUUUCAAGGUAUGUUCCUCUGCCUUUCAGCAUUCUAAAAAUACCUUGCCAGUGGAGGUAGAGAUUCUUGAUUACCACACUUAAGCCUAUAGGCUGUUGGUUUAAUCUUUCAGAAAUAUCAUUAAAUCCUAUGACAUAACCUGCAUAUUCAAAAUAAUCCAAAAAUUGCAAGAUUUUUAUCUCAGACACCUUAGAGAAGCAAUACAGCAGCACAAAUUUCAUAAGAACUCCAGAAAAAAGAAGACACCCCUACAGUAAACUAUCAAUAUGACCCAUAUCAAGGUUACCAAUAGGCAUGUGAAUAACAUACCAAAAACCAGUCCAAAAGGCAUUGUAAGCAUCAAUACUAAUUCAGUAUUUGCUGUUUCACAGUAAUUGCACCUUGCAAUAGUGCCAGUUUAAAUCAAGAUAUCAUGGUGAUCUGAAUUACCUUCCAGACUAAUGGAAGGUACCUCACUGGGAAAAAAAUAAAAAGCCAUGAGAUUUGAAAACAAUAGAUUAAUGUUUUCCAUGUACUUGUAAUUUAAAGCAAUUGCCUAUCUUGUGUAUUAUCCUUCAGAUAUGACUGCCAAGCCAAAUUAUUUCUACCCUAAAAUGACCUGAGUGAAGUCUACAAACAUUUUCCACAAAACUAAAGAAGCUCAGUGAUCACUGUGAAUUGAAAAACAUCCAUUUUCCAUGGACCACAUGGUUGAAUAGAGUGAGCAGUACAAAAUAUCCUCAUAACAAGUACUUCAUGCCAGGGCAUCAGUGUUCCUGUUUAAUGGUGGUUGUACAGAAUGUUUGUGCCUGUCCCAAGAAGAGAUUUCAGGCACUGCAAACUGAUAUGGGGAAGGCACGUGGACAUGUAAGACAGACCACUUGGUCAGUGGCUUUAAAUUCACUCUCAAGAUCUGUUCAGCACUUCACACGGUGGUAAAAGAAUACAUCCCAGUAACACAUAGCCCUACACAACAGCCUCACCAGAACAUUAAUUUAAUUGUUGGCUCUUUUUCUAUUUGCUUUGAAACUUCGCACUUCAGGGGUGAGGGUGAGAAAGGGAGAGAGGUUUAACUCACUCUCAGGAACUAUAUGAGAAGUUAUAAUAGUGGCUGCUGCAGGAGAAAAAACACAGGGAGGACUGUAUUAUAUGAGCACCUAUUAAGAUGGCUGGAUCUUUGCUAAGAUCUUUCACAUACUAGGCACUAAGCAAAUAAAAUGCUUUCAGAAAACAGAGCAGCAGCCGCUCGGUCCCUGGGACAGCCCUGGGAGGGUCUUGGGGUUCUCCGUGCCAGGGGAGCAGCACAGCCCCAACCCGGGACACCCCCACCCACCAGCUUUUCCCUUGGCAAGUGCUCUCAGGUGCUUCACGCACCAAGAGAUUUUUCUGCAGAAUUUUGCUUUUAUUUGCUCUUAUUUCUGUCCUAGUGCUAAACAGCCUCUGUUAGUUUUAAUUUAAAGCUGCUCCCACUCGCAUUUUGCUAUUCUGAAAACUCCCUGGCAAAGCGAGUGAUGUGAUUCAUUUCCCAGCCCCUCACUGCGUGACGCACCUGCUCAGCUGCUGGGACCAUGCCGGCGGGUGAAACUCUGGCAGCCAAGAGAAUGUAAAAAAAAUAAAAUAAAAUUGGAAUACCAGAAUUUACCAUAACAUGUUCUCUUCUAUGCUAAUUGAUGAGAAGGUAACAGUUUCAGUGCUAAUUUAUUUUUGUGUUUACUUAGGAACCUUUUUUUCCUUUUCAUUCAAAAUGCAGCUUUUUCCAGCACUCAGAACUGUGAUGGCGACAGGAAAAAAUAAUGGAAGCAUUACAUUCCUGUUAGUCAGAGUGCUGAGAGCUGAACAUCAGUUGACCACCACUGAAGAGUUCAUUUAUCCAAAAAGCAAAACUAAUUUGGGGUGUAGAAGUAAUUCAUAGAGUUUUUAUCACACCUAGCACUUCCACCCAAAAUGUGAGACCUCACAAUAAGAACAACCUAUUGUCACUGUCAUGCAGCUGGCAAUUAAGCACCACAGCAGCAAUUCACUCCCCACCCUCACCAGUGCAAUGGGAAGAACAAAUAACAGUAGAACUUGCAGGCU